UGCAGUCGAGCGGAUGAAGGGAGCUUGCUCCUGGAUUCAGCGGCGGACGGGUGAGUAAUGCCUAGGAAUCUGCCUGGUAGUGGGGGAUAACGUCCGGAAACGGGCGCUAAUACCGCAUACGUCCUGAGGGAGAAAGUGGGGGAUCUUCGGACCUCACGCUAUCAGAUGAGCCUAGGUCGGAUUAUCUAGUUGGUGGGGUAAAGGCCUACCAAGGCGACGAUCCGUAACUGGUCUGAGAGGAUGAUCAGUCACACUGGAACUGAGACACGGUCCAGACUCCUACGGGAGGCACCAGUGGGGAAUAUUGGACAAUGGGCGAAAGCCUGAUCCAGCCAUGCCGCGUGUGUGAAGAAGGUCUUCGGAUUGUAAAGCACUUUAAGUUGGGAGGAAGGGCAGUAAGUUAAUACCUUGCUGUUUUGACGUUACCAACAGAAUAAGCACCGGCUAACUUCGUGCCAGCAGCCGCGGUAAUACGAAGGGUGCAAGCGUUAAUCGGAAUUACUGGGCGUAAAGCGCGCGUAGGUGGUUCAGCAAGUUGGAUGUGAAAUCCCCGGGCUCAACCUGGGAACUGCAUCCAGAACUACUGAGCUAUAGUACGGUAGAGGGUGGUGGAAUUUCCUGUGUAGCGGUGAGAUGCGUAGAUAUAGGAAGGAACACCAGUGGCGAAGGCGACCACCUGUACUGAUACUGACACUGAGGUGCGAAAGCGUGGGGAGCAAACAGGAUUAUAUACCCUG
rnacentral:rRNA from 1 species